GAACAUGAAAUUGCUACUUAGACUGCCUGUCUGUGUUCUAAUGUUAUUCUAGUAACGUUACAACAGACAAAGAAUUUUGUACAACGUUGGUCAUGCCGUUUAUAGUUAUAGCAGAAGUUUGUACAACAUGCCUUUGGCCAGACAUGCUCAGAAGGCUCAGUGAAGAUCAACUCUCAGAAUGAACUUCUGGUGGUUACCAACGACAACGGUGAUAUAAGAGGGGACCACUCGAUUCUUUACAGUGUUACCAGUCCUCCAAAGCUGGGGAGACUGGUCAGAAAACAGACAGGCAACUCUACCGCAGAGAUCUCCUCCACAAAAAACAUGGUAUGCAUAUAUGUGUAUGUAUAGUGGAGUUAAAGGGGCAGUGGUGUCUAAAUGGGAUUUUUCUGUGUUUUAUAUACAGUACCAGUUAAAUGUUUGGACACACCUACUCAUUGAAGGGUUUUUCUUGAUUUGUACUAUUUUCUACAUUGUGGAAUAAUAGUAAAAACAUCAAAACGAUGAAAUAACACAUAUGGAUUCAUGUAGUAACCAAAAAAGUGUUAGCAUUCUCUCAACCAUCCUCACCUGGAAUGCUUUUCCAACAGUCUUGAAGGAGUUCCCACAUAUGCUGAGCACUUGUUGGCUGCUUUUCCUUCACUCUGCAGUCCAACUCAUCCCAAACCAUCUCAGUUGGGUUGAGGUCGGGUGAUUGUGGAGGCCAGGUCAUCUGAUGCCUCACUCUAUCACUCUCCUUCUUGGUCAAGUAGCCCUUACACAGCCUGGAGGUGUGUUGGGUCAUUGUCCUGUUGAAAAACAAAUUAUAGUUCCACUAAGAGAAAACCAGAUGGGAUGGCGUAUCGCUGCAGAAUGCUGUGGUAGCCAUGCUGGUUAAGUGUACCUUGAAUUGUAAAUAAAUCACAGACAGUGUCACUAGCAAAGCACCCCCACAUCAGCACACCUCCUCCUCCAAGCUUCACGGUGGGAACCACACAUGCGGAGAUCAUCCGUUCACCAACACUGCGUCUCACAAAGACCUGGUGGUUGGAACCAAAAAUCUAAAAUUUUAACGCAUCAGACCAAAGGACAGAUUUCCACCGGUCUAAUGUCCAUUGCUUGUGUUUCUUGGCCCAAACAAGUCUCGUCUUCUUAUUGUUGUCCUUUAGUAGUGGUUUCUUUGCAGCAAUUCGACCAUGAAUUGCCUGAUUCAUGCUGACUCCUCUGAACAGUUGAUGUUGAGAUGUAUCUGUUACUUGAACUCUGUGAAGCAUUUAUUUGGGCUGCAAUAUAAGGUGCAGUUAACUCUAAUGAACUUAUCCCCUGUAGCAGAGGGAACUCAGGGUCUUCCUUUCCUGUGGCGGUCCUCAUGAGAGCCAGUUUCAUUAUAGCGCUUUAUGGUUUUUGCGACUGCACUUGAAGAAACUUUCAAUGUUCUUGAAAUGUUCCGUAUUUACUGACCUUCAUGUCUUAAAGUAUUAAUGGACUGUCAUUUCUCUUUGUUUAUUUGAGCUGUUCUUGCCACAAUAUGGACUUGGUCUUUUACCAAAUUGAGCUAUCUUCUGUAUACCACCGCUACCUUGUCACAACACAACUGAUUGGCUCAAACGCAUUAAGGAAAGAAAUUCCACAAAUUAACUUUUAACAAGGCACACCUGUUAGUUGAAAUGCAUUCCAGGUGGCUACCUCAUGAAGCUGGUUGAGAGAAUGCCAAGAGUGUGCAAAGCUGUCAUCUAGGCAAAAGGUGGCUACUUUGAAGCAUCUGAAAUAUAAAAUAUAUUUUGAUUUGUUUAGCAAUUUUCUGGUUACUACAUGAUUUCAGAUGUGUUAUUUCAUAGUUCUUCACUAUUAUUCUACAAUGUACAAAAUAGUAAAAAAAAAAUAAGGAAAAACCCUUAAAUGAGUUAGUGUGUCCAAACUUUUGACUGGUACUGUAUUUUGUGACGACCCUCCCACUCUGUCUGCCGUAUUCUCUCUUUGCUCUUGUUUCCUUAUUAGGAUGCCGGUGGGCGGAGUUGGGAGGGUCGUCAGCUACAUGGGAAACACCUGGGCCCAGUGUGUCCCAGGAUAAAUACACCACUUCCCCAUUCAUGGAGGAGACUCUCUCCAUGCAGACACCUUUAUAGAUUUUGUUGUGUAUCUUGGUGGUUUUUGGUUGUUUGCUUUGGCACCUUUCAACACCCUGCAUUUUCACAUUCAUGCAUGCUAAACACUCACUUACACUACUGAUUACACACACCAUUGUAUAUUGUACUUAGUUUACUUUAUUUAAUAAAUAUAUGUUUCGUUAUUCCUUAUCUCCACGUUGUCUCCCUUUUGUUACGGGCUUUGAGCCGGUUCGUGACAAUUUCCACACAAUGAGGUUGGAAAAAUACUGUGAAAUUGUGGAAAUUAAGUGUAAGAAUUUUUUUUUAAAUUUCAGCUUGUUUUCCAUGGUUGAAGUUUUGGUGACAUCUAAGUUAAUAGACCGAUAACAAAGAGUUUCAAACCUCUCUGCCAAUAACAUCUAGUUUUCAGGUUACAUAACCCUCCCAUUAGCCUCUUCCAAUUAGGCCUCUCACUCAGACCACUUCUAGUGUAAUGUCCUGACCAGAGUUCUUAUGUGUUUUGUUUGUUUAGUGUUGGUCAGGACGUGAGCUGGGUGGGAAUUCUAUGUUGUGUAUCUAGUUAGUCUGUUUCUGUGUCCAAGUCUAAUAUGGUUCUCAAUCAGAGACAGCUGUCAAUCGUUGUCCCUGAUUGAGAAUCAUAUAUAGGUGGCUUGUUUUGUGUUGGGGAUUGUGGGUGGUUGUUUCCUGUCUUUGUGUUUUGUCUGCACCAGCUAGGACUGUGACGGUUAGUUUGUUUUGUCAUUUUGUAUAGUGUCUUGUUUUGUGUGAAUUAAAUAAUGGAAAA